rnacentral:rRNA from 1 species
ACGUAGGGCGCAAGCGUUGUCCGGAAUUAUUGGGCGUAAAGAGCUCGUAGGCGGUUUGUCGCGUCUGCUGUGAAAGCCCGGGGCUCAACCCCGGGUCUGCAGUGGGUACGGGCAGACUAGAGUGCAGUAGGGGAGACUGGAAUUCCUGGUGUAGCGGUGAAAUGCGCAGAUAUCAGGGGAGACCAGCCGAAGCGAAGGCGUCUGGCUGGUCUGAUGCUGACGAGACGA